UAUCGGAUUGAUACUAAGCCAUGCGAGUCUUUGUAGUAAUACAAGGCAGACGGCUCAGUAACACGUAGUCAACCUACCCUAUGGACAAGAAUAAUCUCGGGAAACUGGGCAUAAUUCUUGAUAGAUCAUAAUGCCUGGAAUGGUUUAUGGUUAAAAUGAUUCGUCGCCAUAGGAUGGGACUGCGGCCUAUCAGCUUGUUGGUGAGGUAAUGGCCCACCAAGGCGAUUACAGGUACGGGCUCUGAGAGGAGAAGCCCGGAGAUGGGUACUGAGACACGGACCCAGGCCCUAUGGGGCGCAGCAGGCGAGAAAACUUUGCAAUGUGCGAAAGCACGACAAGGUUAAUCCGAGUGAUUUCUGCUAAAGAAAUCUUUUGCCAGUCAUAAAACCACUGGUGAAUAAGGGGUGGGCAAGUUCUGGUGUCAGCCGCCGCGGUAAAACCAGCACCUCAAGUGGUCAGGAUGAUUAUUGGGCCUAAAGCAUCCGUAGCCGGCUUUGUAAGUUUUCGGUUAAAUCCAUGUGCUCAACGCAUGGGCUGCCGAAAAUACUGCAUGGCUAGGGAGUGGGAGAGGUAGACGGUACUCAGUAGGAAGGGGUAAAAUCCUUUGAUCUAUUGAUGACCACCUGUGGCGAAGGCGGUCUACCAGAACACGUUCGACGGUGAGGGAUGAAAGCUGGGGGAGCAAACCGGAUUAGAUACCCGGGUAGUCCCAGCUGUAAACGAUGCAGACUCGAUGAUGCAUUGGCAUAAUAGCCAGUGCAGUGUCGCAGGGAAGCCGUUAAGUCUGCCGCCUGGGAAGUACGUACGCAAGUAUGAAACUU
rnacentral:rRNA from 1 species